GACGAACGCUGGCGGCGUGCUUAACACAUGCAAGUCGAACGGAAAGGCCCUGCUUGCAGGGUACUCGAGUGGCGAACGGGUGAGUAACACGUGGAUGAUCUGCCCUGCACUUCGGGAUAAGCCUGGGAAACUGGGUCUAAUACCGGAUAGGAGCCAUUUUUAGUGUGAUGGUUGGAAAGUUUUUUCGGUGUAGGAUGAGCUCGCGGCCUAUCAGCUUGUUGGUGGGGUAAUGGCCUACCAAGGCGGCGACGGGUAGCCGGCCUGAGAGGGUGGCCGGCCACAUUGGGACUGAGAUACGGCCCAGACUCCUACGGGGGGCAGCAGUGGGGAAUAUUGCACAAUGGGCGGAAGCCUGAUGCAGCAACGCCGCGUGGGGGAUGACGGCCUUCGGGUUGUAAACCGCUUUCGCCGGGGACGAAGCUUUUUGGGCGGGUACGUAGAAAAAAAGCCCGGGUAACUACGGG
rnacentral:rRNA from 1 species